CGCCCCGCCGACUGCAGCCUGCGCUCGGCGCUCGGCGUCCGGCGCCCGGCCGAACGGCGCCCACAAGGUGGCAGUGCCGCGCUGCUGGUGUCCUGGCCGGGUUCCGCGCGACCCGCGCGGGGAGGCCGGAGCCCGCGCAUCCCUCCUGCAAAAGUUUUAAUGAACAUAGACCCACCCGGGCCUGAGGCGCUCCCAGGCCUGCUAGCCGCGCCGCUUCGAUUUCGGAGUUCCUCUGGGAGAGUUGCACGCUUCGAUGGCGUCUCUCUUUGUCCUCGACUCAGAGAAUCAGGAUUCGGAUCCUGUAAUUGAAGCAGGAGUCCGGCCAUGGCUGUGGAGAUGCCAUCACCCUAAGGAAAGAGGGAGGCAUCUUCUGAGGAAUCGCCUUGAGAACCCGAGGCACAUCUGUUCAUACCUUCAAUCCUGACAAGCUGUUUUUGAAGGCGAAUAUGAUGUUUGGAACCAUCUAGAAGUCAUUUGGAGUCCAGUGAAAAAGCCAGCGAUCAAGGGGAGAAUAAAGGUCUGAGUGAAAAGGUAGCAGCCAAAGGAGCGUGGAAGGGGAAGAGUUCCAACAGGAGUCGGACAAGAUCACUUCAGGCAGAAGGAGGCUGACGCUCAAAAACCACGUGCCAUUGACUGUGCCCGAACCGCACGCACUCUUUGAAUGGAAAGAUGCCUGCUGCCUGCUUCGGACCUCUAGCGGAUGACUGAAGAAGCUGAGGGUCAGAGAGGCCGGCAGGCCACCGUGAGGCAGGCCACACUUGAGAGGCCAACGGCUGAGCUUCAGGCUUUGAGAAGCUCCUUCGUGCGGGUAAGAGAUGAGGGCCAUGCCUUUGGAAGUCUCUGUGCAGUGCUGGGCUCCGUUGCUAAUGAUGGCGAGCUCGUCACACCUCUGGGUGGUGUGGGCAGAUGGUUCCUACUUCGCUGUAGGAGCUCCAGGCUGAGGGAUGGCCAGGAAGUUUAGAAAGAUAUGCUGGUUCUUUAGCCUGUGCCUGAUGCAUUCUUGGCCGAUGUGGGUAACAGAGGAGAAAACAGAGAUGUACGUGGCUGUCCUCCAGCUAAUGCACCAUCACCACCAUGACCCCCACCUCCAUGCAGUCAAGCAGGGGCAUGGGAACCAGAACAAGCUGAGACAAAUGGCACACCCGCAGGGGACCACAGGUUGACAGCAACCCUGGGAUCAGUGGCAGGGUCUGGGGCACCAUGAAUCACCAGUGACCACCUAGGUCCCUCCGUCCCUGAUCCCCCAUGGAUUGCUCGCGCAGAGCUUCUCUUACAAAUGAUUGUACGUACUCUGUGAUGACCUGCCAGCCUAAGGCUGUUGGGUCCAGACGAGACAUAGCUGAUGUGGUCAGUGCUUGCCCACAUUCCCUGGGAAACUUUUCUCAUUUUCCUGCACACCAGCUCCAGGUGCGUCAAGCAGCACCUGUGUCUCUCUGUCAGAGGGCUACCCGCAGGGUUCUGGAACUGCUAUGCCAGCUUAAAAAAAGUAAUAAUGAGAAUCUGCAUCCUUCCGGGGAUGACAGCCCUUAACCAGUGGAUGACGGAUGGGAGGAGGAUGUAAAUACUUCCCUGGGCCCUAAUCAGGAGCACAGUGGAGGCCAUAGGGAGACGUUGGAGAGAGUGUCAGUCACACCUCACCACUUCCCUCCCUGGGGCUUUGCGCCAUGUUGCACACUUACCCAGCAUCCUUCCUUUCCGGGGCUGACUUUCCAAACCUUCUACCAGAUUUUCCUGGGGACAUUCCUUAAACGAAUCACUCAGUGUUCGCUUCUGGGGAAUCUAACCUAAGUAAGACACAAGACAAGGCACGGGAGGCAAUGUUUGUUCUAAGGCCCAGAAUCAACCCGGUUUCCCCUCAGCUCAGAUGGCUUCUCAUGUCUUUAAAGUUCAGGCUUCCUAGAUCAUCCCUUAAAGAUCCUUAGAGUGAAAGAGUCUAUCGUUCUGCUGCACAAGCAUAACAGGCAACUGUUCUCCCACUCUACAGGGUCUUCUGCGAAAUCUCAACUCAAAGUCAGCCCCAGGGCCCUGGGGGAAAUUCUGCUUCCUACGUCUUAAUUCAGAGUAACAUAGGCCUUGGCCAAAGCUUCCAACCAUAUAAUCACCUCAUGUUUCCCCCGUCCCUUUAGCCCAGCAAAAAUGAAAGCCAAUGGGGGCCUUAUAUGGCGUUCACAGACUUCGGAAACCCGUUCAAAAAUAGUUUCAGUUCCUUUCUUAUUGUCUCCCCAGAGUCUGAUAAUUCCUGGAAGGAGGACUGUAGGUUCAUUGAUACCUGGGGACUCCAGCAGAAAAUCAAUCCUGUAGCUCAGGGAAGCUGUACAAAAACCCCACGCGCUCCCCUGCUGGGGCUGUCAACUCUCUCCUCCCUCCCAGCCCUUUGAGCCUUGGGAGUAACUCCUGCUGCUCCGCAGAUCAGGCAGCCGUGGACGCCACGCAAACAGGGAAGAAAAUGGUGCAAACUGGGAGAACGCCAGUUCCUCAAGCUUGUCCUUCCUCCCCUUUGUGUAAUCUCCAAGAGCAUCUAGUUGAGCAGAAACGUCAACAUUGGUUUCAACAUGACACAUCUCCCAGGAAAGUUCCCGCACGUCACGAAGGAGAGUUUGGGCUUGUUGUGACCACUGUCGGUCUUGGCCCAAGCCUGGAAACAUGUGAAAACACAAGACUGGACCAGAACAACUACAGGCAAAUGCUCCGAAGUCCUGACACACCACUCAUA